rnacentral:misc_RNA from 1 species
AGUAGCAGAAGUAAGAAUACCUGGGAAACUAAUCCAGUUGCUAAAAUCAAUCAAAGAUAUAAGUCAUCUUUCACAGACAAUAAAACUGAAAGCAAACUAAAAUUUGAAGUAAAAAUUUUGAUAUCAACCAUUAAUAUCCUGGAAGCAUAUGGGGAUGAGAGAACAUUCAGCAAUUAUGAUUAAAGCAUUCCAGAAUAAUCACAUGGAGCAACUAGCAGGCAAAGAUACCUAGAUAUCCUCAUUUUGGCAGUAGCUAAUUUUUAGGAAAAGAGGUAAAAUGGUAGACAAAGCUUCAAACUUAAGGAAUUCUUAAAUGGUAAAGGUCUCUGCUUCUAGUAACCAACUAGUAUCUGUGUCAUGCAAUGGUGGUGUACACCACUUCAAUUCCAAGGGAUGAUGUCAUGAUGAUAUGCUUAUUUGUGAUCGAAAGUUCUCCCUUAUUAUUUUUUUUAAUACAACUGAAACCACAUUACUCCUCAUAGUACAUCCAGUCAUAAAGAGACUUCUCCAUUAACAGGAAAAU